rnacentral:rRNA from 1 species
CCUACGGGGGGCAGCAGUGAGGAAUAUUGGUCAAUGGCCGAGAGCCUGAACCAGCCAAGCCGCGUGAGGGAAGACGGCCCUAUGGGUUGUAAACCUCUUUUGUCGGAGAGCAAAACCAGCGACGUGUCCCUGUCUGAGAGUAUCCGAAGAAAAAGCAUCGGCUAACUCCGUGCCAGCAGCCGCGGUAAUACGGAGGAUGCGAGCGUUAUCCGGAUUUAUUGGGUUUAAAGGGUGCGUAGGCGGUCCGUUAAGUCAGCGGUAAAAUGGCGGGGCUCAACUCCGUCGAGCCGUUGAAACUGGUAGGCUUGAGUGGGCGAGAAGUAUGCGGAAUGCGUGGUGUAGCGGUGAAAUGCAUAGAGAUCGUGCAGAACUCCGAUUGCGAAGGCAGCGUACCGGC